CCAUCAAACUUAGAGAAUAUUUGAAUGUUUAUUAGUAAUGUAAUUCGAUAAUCCCUAAUAAAACAAUCCUUUUUUAGGAAUGUUAUCAUCUCUUGCAGCUAGCGGGCUGAAGACCUCGCACGAUCUUGAGCGAUGAAUGCCACUUGUCCUAAGAUAAGAUGAGUAAAAAUUGGACGAGAAGCGUAGGAUAACCUAAAAAAAUUCUCGAAGUCCAUA
rnacentral:lncRNA from 1 species